AGCUCAACUUUGUUGGUCAUUGUGGACAAUCUGAGUAUUUACCUUUCUCUGAUGUUGUUUUCCUAUUCUAUCUGUGUUUUUCAUGGUCCUGAUUUACGUUUCUAUUUUACCUUAUUCUAGCUUUCUUACAAGUUAUCCUAAAGACUAGGUGGGAGUUAGAGUAUAUAAACAUCAGAGAGCUGCAGAAAAUGAGCCAAGGACACACAUUCCAUUACCAGGAUUCCUAGAGGAGAAGAGAAAGGAAAUAUCCAGGAAACCUAUCUGCAGUUCUCAGCAUCUACUACCUUACAACAGCCACUCCUGAUACACACCUGUGAAGCUUUCCUAAGGCAACUGCCUUGUUAACACCAGAUCCCUGGGCUGGGCAGACACCAGGCUACCAAAUAUCUCCGCAGAGCUGGUUCUGUCUGAAGGUGCUGAUCAGCUGUGGGAAUCCCGGCAUGGAUGCUGCCUCAGAGACCUCUGUGCACAAGGAAGAAGUGGGUGGCUGGAAGGAGGCAGGGAAAAAAGCAGACAAAAUUGGAGAUCAAAGUGUAAAGUCUUGGAUUUACUACCUUAUAUCAAUACCACACUGCCGCCAUUACCAGUACCUGAUAGGACCCCUAUACCUCUAAGGGCUUCAACUGUGUUGUUCUUCAGUAUUGCCGUGAGUGUCCUUGGUCGUCUGCAUUUUCCCGCCUAUUUUAAAAUCAGUGUGUCAAGCUUAACAUCAGUAACAGCAAAGCCUUCCAGGAUUCUGACUAG
rnacentral:lncRNA from 1 species